GAUGGCUGGAUGACCGCUGCCACCAACGGAGAAAUCCGGUGGGAGAGGAAAGUCCGGGCUCCACAGGAUCAGGAUGCCGGGUAACGCCCGGCGGGGGUGACCCCAGGGAAAGUGCCGCAGAAAACAAACCGCCCAUACGCCCCACGGGACGUAUGCUGGUAAGGGUGAAAAGGUGCGGUAAGAGCGCACCGCCAGGCUGGUAACAGGCUGGGCAUGGUAAACCCCAUCCGGAGCAAGACCAUGUAGGGACACAUGCCGCGUGCGGCUGGUGCGAUCCUGCACUGAUGUCCGGGUAGGUCGCUUGAGGCGGCUGGCAACAGCCCGCACUAGAUGAAUGGUCAUCACCCUCUGCGUCAUGCAGGCGGGACACAGAACCCGGCUUACAGGCCAUCUG
rnacentral:RNase_P_RNA from 1 species